UGUGUGGCCAAUGGAUGUUGUGUGGAUGCAAGAACUUCCCAUUGUUACUAUCCUUUGGAUGCGUGCACUGCAGAUGGGCAUUUUGUAUUCUCCGUAUACCGCACCUCAACCAAGCCAGAAAUUGAUCCGAGCAGUCUAGUAAUUGCAGGAAACCAUUCAUGUGUCCCUGUAAUCUGCACUCCAGACUUUGCGGUCUUCAAAUUUCCUGUGACUGGCUGUGGGACACGUGUCUUUACUGUGGCGGAGACUACAAUCUAUCUUGCUGAAGUUCGUGGUUUGGUUCGGGGGAUCCAGCAGAUGUAUGGACAAAUUACCAGAGAUGGCCC